AUCCACUUCAGGAGCACCGUCGAUCCCGUUGAGGACCUGCUGCCCAUCAUGUCGAGGAUCCGAAGACGAUCCCCUUCAGGAGCCUUGCCGAUCCUUCUCCACACGCCACCGCCUCCCUUGCGAAGACGCCUUGCCAUGGAUAUCAAUCGGCGCCACGACGGCCGUGGCCUCACCACCCGCCGACGUUCCAGAUCCGGCCAUCGUUGACCCCCUCCACAUCAGUGAUUGGUCAAGGUAGGGGUGUGUGGCUCUAUCCAUCUUCCCGCGUGUACGACGUCCGUGUAUCCCGGGCAAGGGUGCUUGUGAGAUCGGGAGGCGAUCAAAAGGAGGAAGAGGAGAUCCAUGGUUGGGGAUACAUUCAACGACCUAGGCAUCAUCCUCCCUGACGUCGUACUCGAAGCCCGCAGCCAUUGCCUUCUCAAUCUACGUUAGUCAGCAGCAGCAAGCAGAGAAUUAACAACAGUAGACCAAAGCAAAGGGGGGUCAGCCUGAAUGGGACGUAUCCCCUCCAGAAGACUCGCCCUAGCUAACCUGCCUGGUACCUUUCAUUAGCACUUCUCCCAGUAAGUUUGCAAAUUUUGGAUCCACCACUUUUGAAUCAUGCUUGGUGUGUGCUGACGGUGCACGAGGAACGUGACGGUUUUUCUCCGAAUCAUGCCAUAGUUCUCUCAAUAUUGUACGUGUUGUUCUCUCAGCAUUGUACGUCUUGUUCUCUGCAUGAUGUGUGGUCGAUGGGCGGAGGCGACGACUGGCGGCUGUUCUAUUUACACCUGACAUGGUUGAGAGGCUAGGGAGCAGGCGAUUUUGCACUCGUAUUUGGUCGGCAAUGGAGAUGAAUUUGUGAGAGAUGUGGCUGGGAGUUGCACCGGUCAUUUUUCUGCCCUCUCUAUGUUAUCCCUUUGCACUAAUCGGUAAUUGCUUUUUGACCAGGGGAUAGGGUAGCGUACACGAACAGCAAAAUUGUAGAAGACGAGGAGGACAAUCUGAGUGACCAACAUUAUGUGGAGUAUUGAGAUGCAGAUCCAUCUUCACCGACAGCACGCGCUUGUCUGUGACCUCCCACCAGCAACGCCUUGAGGUCACCCACACAAGCGACCAAGCAAUUCCACACCGUCACCCUCUGCUACUUCGCCAACGACAUCGAGGAGGUCGUGGGUGAGAGCUACUGUCCUCCCUGGAGAACAUGCUCGUGCCCCAUGCGUAUGAAGAAGAGCUAAGACACUCGCAUGGGUGCUCAAGGAAAUACACCAGAUUGAGCGAGAGUGUUACGCAAUUUAUCAACAAGAGCAAAGACUCUAAUCUGAUGAUGUAGGACAGCUUUAAUGUGACAGAGGAUCAUGGUGGUCGAUGGAUUGUGCACCCGGUAGUAGACUAGGAAAGGAACAUUAUUUACGGAACACAAUGAUAUUCAGAGCAGCCCUGCACUAUGUGAGAUUUAGAAGUUGGUACUGCCGGCGGAUGCAUCCAUGUGCUAAUCUCCUGGCACCGCGUAGACGGAGCCAAACGAGUUGGGGCCUCCAGCCGGCUGGUAGUGGACAACAACACCGGGUUUGUUAAUUAAUCAACAAGUCACAGAUUGUCCUCUUUUCUGAUUGGUCUGGUGUGGAUUAUCAGGCCUGCCGCGCAAUCAUAGAUUUAUCUUUUGAUUUUUGUGGGUGGACAGAAACACCCUUUCUAAAGUUUUCUAGGGAUUGUAAUGAAGCACAGUAACACACUCCAGCAUUCAUUCUUUGCUUGAUAUUAGCAAACAAUGUAAAAUAACCAAGCUCACAACAUUCUAAAGCGGUCUAUUAGCUACUUCAGCAGACAACAGACAGAAAGAAGUAAGCAGUAUUUGAUUUGCUCA